rnacentral:rRNA from 1 species
UCCCAGACUCCUACGGGAGGCAGCAGUGGGGAAUCUUCCGCAAUGGGCGAAAGCCUGACGGAGCAACGCCGCGUGAUCGAAUGAAGGCCUUCGGGUUGUAAAGAUCUGUUGACAGGGACGAAUAAGCAAUGCGAAUAGUUUUGUGUAUGACGGUACCUGUUUAGAAAGCUCCGGCUAACUACGUGCCAGCAGCCGCGGUAAUACGUAGGGAGCAAGCGUUGUCCGGAAUUACUGGGCGUAAAGGGUGCGCAGGUGGCAGGGCAAGUCAGAUGUGAAAGCCCGGGGCUCAACCCCGGUAUUGCAUUUGAAACUGUCCGGCUAGAGUGCAGGAGAGGUAAGCGGAAUUCCUAGUGUAGCGGUGAAAUGCGUAGAUAUUAGGAGGAACACCAGUGGCGAAGGCGGCUUACUGGACUGUAACUGACACUGAGGCACGAAAGCGUGGGGAGCAAACAGGAUUAGAUACCCCCGUAGUU